AUUGAACGCUGGCGGCAGGCCUAACACAUGCAAGUCGAGCGGAGCGGCGGACGGGUGAGUAAUGCCUAGGAAUCUGCCUGGUAGUGGGGGAUAACGUCCGGAACCGGGCGCUAAUACCGAUUACUAUCAGAUUAGCCUAUGUGGGAAUAGCUAGUUGGUGUGGUAAAGGCCUACCAAGGCCACGAUCCGUAACUGGUCUGAGAGGAUGAUCAGUCACACGGGAACUGAGACACGGUCCAGACUCCUACGGGAGGCAGCAGGGGGGAAUAUUGGACAAUGGGCGAAAGCCUGAUCCAGCCAUGCCGCGUGUGUGAAGAAGGUCUUCGGAUUGUAAAGCACUUUAAGUUGGGAGGCGUUACCAACAGAAUAAGCACCGGCUAACUCCGUGCCAGCCGCCGCGGUAAUAC
rnacentral:rRNA from 1 species